rnacentral:lncRNA from 1 species
AUUUUGCACCAAUUUAUUACAGCUUAGGGAAAUGAAAAUGGAAAACAGACAAACAGCAUUUAAGUCUUGUUAACAAAUUAUACCCCUCGUUCACUCUCAACUUUUCUUCGGUUUCAGAUAUAUUGAAUACAUAAGAAGUGAACACAGCUCUCAUCUCAUAAAUAAGUUCUAAAACAAAAAUCUGUGGAGGUCUAUAGGGAGUAUUUACAUAGCUGCUGUAUAAACCAGCAGUACAGAUGAAGAUUAAAUGUUGUAUCUACAACCUCAGACUAUGGAGAGUUUGGAGAAGGACGUUAUCAUUUUCAUGGAUUGACAAAGGUGUACUUUGUUAUUCUGCUAGGUGCCCUGCCUGCAGCUCUACCUGAGAAUUAUCAUCUUGGCCUGUGUUUGUAAUUUGAGACAUACAGAGUGUUUUGUGAAGUGAUGUUGGCACUUUCAGUAGCUAUGCUCUGUGUAUCAUCACUGAAAGAGGCACUCAACAGUGCUAGGUGGCUCUGUGCCGCCUAGGAGCUGCGAGGGAACCUAUUUCUCAUGUGUCAGCAUACCAGUUCCUGAAUUAGGACUUAUUCCAUAUUUAAGGCAACUCAUAUGGAGGGGAAUGAUCAUACAGGGAGUUGUAUUUUCAUCCUGUUGCACUUCUCUACUCUAGAGUCCACCUACUAGCUUAUAAUCUAUAACUCCCGUGCACAUAUGGGCUCUUUGCAGUUCACUCUGAAGGACAGAAUUCUGAUCAGCUGGACUACAGCAACAGCAUUUUGAUAAAAAUGCACCUAGCACAAAAUUGGUUGGCUUGGAGGCUCAAUAAGAUGCAUAUCUGCACCUACACCACUUUUUGAUGGCUUGGAGAGGAAAUUUUACUCACAUUACAGGUAGACAUUUUUAAAGUUUAGAGCACAUUACAGGUAGAUAUUUUUAGAGUAGAUUUUAAAUACCGAAGCAGAGAAACCCCUUUCUUCACAGGAAUGGCUUAGUCCUGAUAAGCCACUUGGGAAGAAGCUGAGGUAUGACCCUAAAAGGGAAGCUGGAACCACAAGGUUGAGCCAGGCAAUGGAAGUGUAGCGGGUGGGAGUUAUCAGGAGUUAAGUGGGGGAGGCAGAAAUACAGAUUGGCUGACCAUCUUGGGCAAGGUGCUAGGGAAAUUUUGAUUCAAUUCUGACAAAGGUUUCUGACAGAGUAACAGUCUUUUGAGAGCCAAGACACCCAAUUGAUGCUUCAAAAAGGAAAGGAAAGGGAGAAAGGAAAGAUUUGGAAUCCUCCAGACAUUUCCUGAGUCAAUCUGAUGGAAAUCGAGGUAGGUUAACCUGGCUUUCACCAGUUUCACAAGCAGGCUGUGAGGCCAAAGCACUUACAUUCUUUCCAUUUUGA